UCGGGUAUGGUGCACGGUGCACGGCGGCUACUAUUGAACCAUUCCUCUAGCCAAUGACCAGCCAAUGACCGGGGUUCGACUCCCCGUGCCCGAA